rnacentral:rRNA from 1 species
CAGUAGCCGCGGGAACACGUAGGGUGCAAGCGUUAAUCGGAAUUACUGGGCGUAAAGCGUGCGCAGGCGGUUAUAUAAGACAGAUGUGAAAUCCCCGGGCUCAACCUGGGAACUGCAUUUGUGACUGUAUAGCUAGAGUACGGCAGAGGGGGAUGGAAUUCCGCGUGUAGCAGUGAAAUGCGUAGAUAUGCGGAGGAACACCGAUGGCGAAGGCAAUCACCUGGGCCUGUACUGACGCUCAUGCACGAAAGCGUGGGGAGCAAACAGGAUUAGAUACCCGCGUAGUCCCUGUCUCUUAUAC